UAUAAGUACAAAGCAGAUGCUUUUGCUAAAAGCAUGUGGCAGCAUGCAUAAAGCAAUACCUUUAUCUGACAUAAUUUGUUUUCUUGUGGCACCAGUUUAAUCUUUCUAACAAUAUGUGAACUGCACAAUAAAAGGAUUUAAAUGCCGCUUCUUUGUUUCUGCAUAUGAACAGUGCAUGCUGCUCUGAGACUGCUGCUGGUCUGCAAUCUUUUAGGUUUAUGAAUGGCUGUCAUAGCUUGAAAAGUCAAGAAGUCUGCAAGCAUCUGCUGCCUUGUUCACAGCAAAAUACGCAUUUAAUGCCACUGAUAAGAGUUAUUUAAAACUUGUCAUCGGGGAGAAAUUCCCUCUUGAGACGGUUCAGGCGUUCCACGAGGUCGUCCAAGGAGAAUUCCCCAUGCACCUUGUUAUCACGUGUGCGGACAUUCACAGUUCCAGAUGUCUUCUCUUUUUCACCAACAACUAAGAUGAAGUUGUAUUGAUCAAGUUGGGCAUUGCGGAUCUUCUUGUUGAGUGUACAGCCAGGAUCAAGGUCAGCGUCGCAACGGAAACCAGCCUCGCGCAGCUGGUCUCUGACUUUGAGUGCGUAGUCGUCGUAAGUCGAGCCUACUGGCACCAAGUUGACCUGGCGUGGUGAGAG
rnacentral:lncRNA from 1 species